UGUGGAUUAACAAAUUGAAUUUAACUAAUGAUAUUAACUUUGUAGUUAAACGAAUCUUCUAAUAAUUCAUUCAUUUUACAAUACUUCUCUAUGUUAUCUAUAAGUCAUAACGAACAGCACAACUCGGAAAAUCAUGUGCCUUAAAACCGCCAAAGGGAUAACGGUGUGUCGCAGCGAUUGAAUUUUUAUAUCAGUAUGAAUCACAGAGAUUAAUAAUAUCGGAAUAUACUGCUUAAUCAUAAAAAAGUUUCUGCUUGAGUAAAAUUCCAUAGUAUGUUUAAUCGACGAAAACGUUGCAGCAAUUGUAAUCAGUAGUCAAAAAAUCCUUGUGACCCCUACUUUUCAUCCUCGCCUUCUUGAACUGAUUAUGCGCAAUGUGUAGAAGAUAAUCACGUGUUCAAAUUGUUGGUUUU
rnacentral:lncRNA from 1 species